rnacentral:rRNA from 1 species
GAUGAACGCUGGCGGCGUGCUUAAGACAUGCAAGUCGAACGGACUUAAUCGAAAUAUUUAUAUUUUGAAGCGGUUAGUGGCGGACUGGUGAGUAACGCGUAAGGAACCUGCCUAUUAGAGGGGAAUAACAGUGAGAAAUCAUUGCUAAUACCGCAUAUGCCAUAGAUAUCACAUGAUAACAGUGGGAAAGGAGCAAUCCGCUAAUAGAUGGCCUUGCGUCUGAUUAGAUAGUUGGUGGGGUAACGGCCUACCAAGUCGACGAUCAGUAGCCGGACUGAGAGGUUGAACGGCCACAUUGGGACUGAGAUACGGCCCAGACUCCUACGGGAGGCAGCAGUCGGGAAUAUUGCGCAAUGGAGGAAACUCUGACGCAGUGACGCCGCGUAUAGGAAGAAGGUUUUCGGAUUGUAAACUAUUGUCGUUAGGGAAGAGAAAGGACAGUACCUAAGGAGGAAGCUCCGGCUAACUACGUG